rnacentral:rRNA from 1 species
CGUAGGGUGCGAGCGUUAAUCGGAAUUACUGGGCGUAAAGCGUGCGCAGGCGGUUUUGUAAGACAGGCGUGAAAUCCCCGAGCUCAACCUGGGAACUGCGCUUGUGACUGCAAGGCUAGAGUACGGCAGAGGGGGGUGGAAUUCCACGUGUAGCAGUGAAAUGCGUAGAGAUGUGGAGGAACACCAAUGGCGAAGGCAGCCCCCUGGGUCGAUACUGACGCUCAUGCACGAAAGCGUGGGUAGCAAACAGGAUUAGAUACCCUGGUAGUCCACGCCCUAAACGAUGUCAACUAGGUGUUGGGUGGGUAAAACCAUUUAGUACCGGAGCUAACGCGUGAAGUUGACCGCCUGGGGAGUACGGCCGCAAGGUUA